AUCCGGCAGUCCGGCAUUUCAGCUGCCGCACACUCGCCCGUCACAGGAUCAGAGGCCUCCCCAGACAGGUGCAGCUGAGAAGGUGACAGUCGCCACACCGCUCCUCGGGUGGUCUGCACAACCAAGCGGUCGCUGGCGAGGACGUCGGCCGUCCCUGUGG